rnacentral:lncRNA from 1 species
CCCCCCCCCCCCCCCCCCCCCCCCCCCCCCCCCCCCCCCCCCCCCCCCCCCCCCCCCCCCCCCCCCCCCCCCCCCCCCCCCCCCCCCCCCCCCCCCCCCCCCCCCCCCCCCCCCCCCUCUCCUUUUUUUUUUUUUUAGCAUAUUGUUUUUGUUCUGGAUUUCUUGCCUUUUAGAGAGAGAUGAAUAAUGUUUAUAGGAAGUUCCCAAUUAGUGUUCUAAGCAGGAACUGCCUCCAAUGUUGCUGAAAUGGGAGAGCUGUCACCCACAAGAUGGGCAGAACAAUUUUGCACACUCAGGAGCUGGUUCCUCCAACAAAAGUUUAUGGGAUCAGUGACAGCUUUUUCUGCAGGUACUAAUGGCCCCAGAAUUAGGUGGCCAAUUCCGAUGAGAGCUGCUGCUCUCCAGAAUCUUUCCCUGCUCGCUCGCCAGCGUUACACACACGUGGAAGCUCAGCUGCUCCAGCUCUUUCCAAGUUUCCUCAAGCCUCUACAGUGCAUUUAUUCCUCUACCUGCACAGAACCUUCUCAGGCUCCAUCCUCACAAACUCCUGCUCUGGGUAUAACAAGAAUCCCCCCUUACAAGCCAAUGAUGCUCACCCUGAAGCUGUGCAGCAGCUACACAGAGACAUCGGUGCAACUUCCAAGCAGCAGCUAUGUUUAAAUGUGUUUCAGGUUAUUGGAUGAACUCACUGAGUAUAAACCCCUUGAGAGUUUAAAAUGAUGACUUUAAGAUCAAUAUAGAAAACUGAGCUCAAGCGAUUGAGGAUUUCAGUUGAGGAUCUGCAGAGCCUUAGGAUUUUGUGUCGGGCUGCCCUGGAUUUAUGGAAUGGGAAGAAGGGGAAUAACUGGGUUAAUUUAUUCAGCACUAAGUGACUUAAAACCCAACUGCAUUAUUGACCACACUGAUUCUGGAAUGGAAACGCUUCAAACUCGGUGCCUUAUUUCUGGAAGCAGCUCAAUACUCCAGGGAGCCCUUCGCUAUUGUAUCCUUGGACUGAAUUAUUAUUUAAAGACAACAAAGCUUCUGUUCAGCCGCAGCCUUUCCGCAGAGUGAAUGCAAGCUCCGGUCAUUGACUUGGGUAACGGGAAUUGAUGUUGGAACUCCGCGGCUAAGAACUGCGCGUGUUUGUGAGCAGGUGCAGUGGGAGAGGGGCGAGGAUGGGCGCUGAGAGCUGGCGGUGACCGGCGUUCCUUGGUGUUUCCUGAGGUGGGGAAUCAUCUCGGUGCCUCGCGGGGGCUGCUCUGUGUCUGUGUCCCCUCCCUGUGCCCGUGUCCCCACUCCGUGUCCUUGUCCCCUCCCCGUGUCCCCUCCCGUGUCCCCCGGCGCCGCGCGGUCCCACCUGCCCGCGGGGGGAGCGGCGCUGCAGUUCCGAGCGCGGCCGCGAGGGGCGGGCGGCGCGCGGCGCAGUGCGCCCCCCCCCCCCCCCCCCCCCCCCCCCCCCCCCCCCCCCCCCCCC